rnacentral:rRNA from 1 species
UACAGAGGUCCCAAGCGUUGUUCGGAUUCAUUGGGCGUAAAGGGUGCGUAGGUGGCGCCGUAAGUGGGGUGUGAAAUUUCGGAGCUUAACUCCGAAACUGCAUUCCAUACUGCGGUGCUUGAGGACUGGAGAGGAGACUGGAAUUCAUGGUGUGGCAGUGAAAUGCGUAGAGAUCAUGAGGAAGACCAGUGGCGAAGGCGGGGUCUCUGGACAGUUCCUGACACUGAGGCACGAAGGCUAGGGGAGCGAACGGG